GGGGAAUAUUGGGCAAUGGGCGAAAGCCUGACCCAGCGACGCCGUGUGGGUGAUGAAGGCCUUCGGGUUGUAAAGCCCUGUUGGGUGGAAAGAAGGGCUCCUGGACGAAUAAUCCGGGAGCUUUGACGGUACCACCAGAGGAAGCACCGGCUAACUCCGUGCCAGCAGCCGCGGUAAUACGGAGGGUGCAAGCGUUGUUCGGAAUUACUGGGCGUAAAGGGCGCGUAGGUGGUUGCGUAAGUCAGAUGUGAAAUCCCGAGGCUCAACUUCGGAACUGCAUCUGAUACUGCAUGACUUGAGUGCAGCAGAGGGAAACGGAAUUCCUGGUGUAGAGGUGAAAUUCGUAGAUAUCAGGAGGAACACCGGUGGCGAAGGCGGUUUCCUGGGCUGACACUGACACUGAGGCGCGAAAGCGUGGGUAGCAAAC
rnacentral:rRNA from 1 species